GCUGUUGGUGGAGGGUUAAAAAAUGUAAUUUCUGGAUUGAGUAAUGUGUAGGGGGAGGAAAGUAGAGAACGUACAACUGGAACUUGACGCAGCUAGCUGGGAACAAGCGUCAGCUUCUGUAAACAGCUCCAUGCUAUUGUUUUAACCAAAUCAAGUGUGGAUCAGGGUAGAAGCGUAGGUAUGAUUUAAGAUAGUAACUAAGGAAUAGGAUAAUCAGUAUCUAGGGGUGGGGGUUAGUUAACAUGUGUAUAAUUUAAACUAUAAAAAUCACGAAUCGACUCUGUAUCCUUUGGACAUCAGAUUUGGGUGUAUUAUCACCCCGGUGUCCCGCGCGCUGGAAUAAAGAACCGCAUAUGAUCGCCUCUGUGUGGUUAUAUGUUUUCCUACGCUAACAUUUUUGGCGACCCAGAUGGGACCUUGUGGGCGCAGCCAGGACCCCACGACCCGAUCACGCUCCAGCCGGCACCGGGUGAUUUCUCGGGGAGCCCAUCGGAGCCGCGACCCUCGCCGCUCACAACGACCCCUGGUGAGAGCUCGGCUCCGAAGUGUUCUCGUGUGGAACAGACCACUGGCCCUGGAGAAUCCAGUCCACAAUAUCGAACCAGGAGAUGAGGUAUACAUCAAAACCUGGAACGAAGAACCACUAAAAGAGAAGUGGACUGGUCCCCAUCAGGUACUGCUAACCACCUUUACAGCAGUCAAAGUGGCUGGAGUGGAACCCUGGAUACACUACACGCGUGUGAAGAAGGUCCCUCGUGGAGUCCAGUCGUGGGCUGUAGAAACUUUUGGACCAACAAAGCUGAGGCUGAAACGUCUGUAACUGUUCAAAUGGUAUUGGUAACUGUGCUCAUGCUCUUCCUGUGGGUAAUGUUAAUUUCAUGGAUACUAAUGUCACCAGUAGGGAUUGCUGUUACUUUGGGAUAUGGGAUACAGAAGGGUCAACUAACAACUCUUCAUUCUAGAAUGAAGAGAGAGAUACAGGCAAAAACACAAGUAAUAGAAAUUUCUAAUGAAAUUCGGGCUGAGAAUGUAAUGAUUGGAUUGGUCAGAGACUUUGCCAAAAU